GUCCACGCCCUAAACGAUGAUGACUAGUUGUUGGAGGAGUUAAAUCCUUUAGUAACGCAGCUAACGCGAGAAGUCAUCCGCCUGGGGAGUACGGUCGCAAGAUUAAAACUCAAAGGAAUUGACGGGGCCCGCACAAGCGGUGGAUGAUGUGGUUUAAUUCGAUGCAACGCGAAAAACCUUACCUACCCUUGACAUGUCAGGAAUCCUCCAGAGACGGGGGAGUGCCCGAAAGGGAGCCUGAACACAGGUGCUGCAUGGCUGUCGU
rnacentral:rRNA from 1 species